AUGAAGCUCCUAUGCUGGAACAUUAGGGGCUUCAGCAACCUGGGCCGCCGACGCCAGCUGAUUGACUACAUCCGGCAGGAAGAUAUAGAUACAGUAAGUCUUCAGGAGACGGUUUGUCAAGACUUCUCCAUUCAGGAGCUACAGGGGCUCUCUCGACACCCGUUUGUCUGGCAAUGGUUGCCGGCGUCUGGGCAGUCUGGAGGCAUACUCCUCGGGGUCAGGGAGGACUUAUUCUCGAUGGAGGAUAUGGACCGCGGGGAAUUCUUUCUGACUAUGUCCAUCACCGACCGACGUGUGAACCUCAGUUGGGAGGUGAUCAUUGUCUAUGGCCCACUUGAUCACAGGCGGUCGGCGGGAUUCCUGGCCGAGCUAAAUGAUAAGGUUGAACAUUGCACGACCCCAGUGGUGGUGGCGGGUGACUUCAACCUUAUCAGGCAGGAAGCUGACAAAAGCUCGCCCAACAUCGACCGAUGGCGUUGA
rnacentral:rRNA from 1 species